rnacentral:rRNA from 1 species
AGUAACGCGUGGAUAACCUGCCUCACACAGGGGGAUAACAGUUAGAAAUGACUGCUAAUACCGCAUAAGCGCACGGCAUCGCAUGAUGCAGUGUGAAAAACUCCGGUGGUAUGAGAUGGACCCGCGUCUGAUUAGGUAGUUGGUGGGGUAACGGCCUACCAAGCCGACGAUCAGUAGCCGACCUGAGAGGGUGACCGGCCACAUUGGGACUGAGACACGGCCCAA